CGGCACUAAGAAGUUUCAGGUUGGUGGCGUGAGAUCCUGCCAAAUGUCCGUCACAGCUGCGGUUUAAGUAAAAGCUGACGGGAAAACGAGACUCCACAUGGUGUUUUCCCAGGUAAUGGCAAGACAUGCUGUGGUGUCUGACAAAGCUUACCUCAUGAGCAGGAAUGGCAAAUGCUACAGUUUUGUUCUGUCUCUCUUCCUGGCAAUUGUCCGUUUUGUGAUUCAUUUGUGAGCUACUGGAAGGUGGUCUUUCAUUUUUCAUGGAUCCUCCCUUUAAAAAAGUACAUA